UUCUAUCUCACUUUUUCUGUCACCCAAGACCAACUUGGUUAGCAUUGUAUGUAUUGACAGAUGCCUUCUUCAAAGGGAAAGAGACAUUCAAAGACCUGGUCAAGGUUAUCAAAUUCUGACAACUUUUCUUUACCUGGGUUACUUGAUUUUGAAGCUACUGACGAGGGUUUUCGAGCUCUCUUGAACAAGCUUCGAUCAAAUACCCAUCUCUGAUUGGGAACUCUGCUUUCAUUGGCCGAGCCACCGAUGUUCAAGACAACCACAAAGGCUGUAAAAUCUGGCCUUCAGAGCCUUCCAUGGCUUCGCUUCUUCGUUUGAAGAGUAGAUUUUCUGAUGGUUUUCCUCUCAGCUCAUUAGCAGAUGGAUGUGCUCGACAUUUUGGGGUUCAUUCUUGCGGACAGUUAGCUAAUGAACCAGGGAACUACUUUGCUCUUGCUACAAUUUUUCCUUCUUGUAAGGUUUGAAUGGCAACUGGGUUACUGUUUUUCCUUUCUACAAUCUAGAACCUUUCUUGA